rnacentral:lncRNA from 1 species
UUUAACACUGCCGAGGUCUUACACCUGAAUGGCUGAACCUAGAAAUAUGCACUCUUCCUCAAUUUUCACAGCGCAACACAUUCUUUUCAGCUAACAAGUACAGUUCUUUUAUACACAACAAUGGUAAGACAACAUCUUCCCGCCGAUCACCACUCAGCAAUGUAGUACUGUAUGAAAUAUCGAGCACUUGUGCUUGCUAGAGUGAUAAACCGAACCUUUUCAGUUUAGUUGAUAGAUCAAAUACACCAAUGUGCCGGAAUAGCUACAGAAACGAACGCCAGAUAUGUGUGUGUGUGUGUGUGUGUGUGUGUGUGUGUGUGUGUGUGUGUGUGUGUAGCACAAAAUAGCAAGAUGAUAGCUUGCGCAAGUCUAACGGUCCCUCCGGUAACUUAACCUACUAGCACACAGCCUCAUGGCUUGAUGCUCAAAGCAGAAGAGUUGCACAUGCCACUACCAGCAGAAUGCAGGUGCUUACAGCCGUCUUGUGAGCAGCAGAAGGCGAUGAACCAGGAGGUGGGCCGGCACCAAAAGGUGCAUUCUUGGGCGCGACAGGGGGGAAUGGCGGCUGCUGCACGCUUGAUGCGUCCAAUUUUGGCAUUGGUGCCACAGAUGGCGGCUGGGCCUGAGGAGCGGCUUGAUUCUUGAGUAGUUGCGCCAGGCCACCGACAGUAACGUUCCCCAUGUAGGAGGGCACGUCAUUUCCCAAACCC